ensembl:lncRNA
CUUAAAAGGACUUUUCCCUGGCAGUCCUAGUAUCUCAGCUUUGUCUUUGGCAUACAUCUGAUAACACCUGCUUAUGGCUGGGACAUUUCUGAGAUAGCUAGCUAACAAUAUUCUCCCUGCUGACCAUGCUAAUAGAAAGGAUGAUUGUAUUGCUCUGAAAAUUGGGAGGCCAAUGCAGAACAGAAGAAAUCAUAAGUAAGUUUUCAUGUACCUGGAGAAUGGAAAUAAUAACUGUAAGUACAACAAUACUUCAAGAAGAUUUUUUUUUUUUUACUUCUGUUACUCAUUCUUUAAUUUUUAGGUGGUAUGAGUUCUGUUUUGUUGUUGUUGUUGUUCUUGAUGAACAUGCUUUUCCUCCAGAUAAAGCUGGGGAAUUUGAUACGGAAAAAAAGUCUAUGACAAUCUCCUGAAAAUUCUUAUUGGCCUAGAAAAAUAUUGCUACGGUAUGUGUUUCUUUUCUGUGAUUCAGGAGCUCAUGUGAGUCAUCCGUGAUUUCAAAUGCAGUCCCAGAGAGCUCAGUCAAUAAAGCAUUUUGGCACCAUUUAGCAUGCUCAGUCUUUCGAGUCCUACAUGAGACAAAAACAGUAAAAAGGAAAACCGCAAUCGAGUGCUCUUGGAAUGAAUAAAAAGGCACACAUUUACAUCUUUAAUAUCUUGAAUUUUAAUGAUACUACUGAGAAUGCGAUUCCUUUUACAUUUGUAAUUUUAAAGGAGAGCAGGUGGUGAAGGUUUAGCUUAAAGUGUUAAUUAAAAUAGCUUACACAACCAAGACCCUGCUCAAAUAAAGUAUAUCAGAAAGAUAUAAGACACUCAUUGAAUGCUCUAUUAUUUAGUCUACUUAAGACUAAAUCAUUAGAAUGCUGGAACAUGUUGGAACAAAUGCACUGGAGAUACUUAAUACCCCAUACACAUGUACAUUUCAUUCCAGCGAAAUCUCAUCCUCUUGAGUUCAUGAAAAGAGCACUAAACUGUAGGUGUUCUAAAUGCACAUUUCUGGAAGGUAAAACAAGUCUAGAUUCACUAGGAAGAUUCGUAUCCCUGAUGGCCAUAGUAAGCAUUCAUAUAAAAGAAAUGGAUCUUCAAAACACAGGGCUUCCUCCCUCUGUAAUAUAGUCUGUUGGCAGGAAAGUGCAGGAUCACUUCCGUAUUGGCUGUGCUGAACUGUAAGACUGAUGAUACACAAUUAGUAUUCAUCCAUUAAUUCACUCAUGCAACUCAGCACAAAAGAAUUGUUUCAGAAAUGGAAUCUAUGCCUACAGAUUCCAAAAAAUAGUUCAGGGCUGGUUGCUAUCAGUCUGCUCUAUUUAGCUGUUGGAAGCGCUCAGCAUGGUUAGAGAACACCCCAUUCUAGGUGCUUUUUUCUUGAUGAAGGAUUGAGCUCUUUAUGUCCUCAGCAGCACAUCAUAGCCACCUAGAUUCUUCAUAAUCAUAGAUGAAGUUGCUUGGUGGAGAAAGCAGUAGAAGCCAGUUCUCCAUACAUCCUUUGAUCAUUAUACUAAAGCCUUUUCUUAUAUUGUUCUCUGACUCCAUUGUAAUUGAGCAGUGAACUAUGAAAUAUAAUCUAAGUGAGGACUAGCAGGUGACUACUUUUAGAUUUAGAUGCAAUUCUAUUAGUCUGACAUAUCCAUUUUAUUUGAAGACCUCACCACCUUUGCCACGAACGUCUAAAUGGUGGCAACUGAACGCUGUCUUCUUUUCCUCUAUAGGGUUUGAAUGGAUGUUACUAUUCUUAGUGUUUACCCUCCUACAGCAAUCUGCAGUUGUAAAUAAUUUGUGCUGGUUUUUUGUUUGAGUUUCAGUACCUUUUAGGUGGUGUAACUAUUGUUAAAAAGUAGUUUAGAUAUCAGGUUUUUGAUAUGUUUUUUAUAAAAAAGUACAAACUGGGAGCCUAAAGUCUGAAAAACUUUCUCUUACAGAUUUAACAUUUAAAUGAUAUAUUUUUGCAAUAAAAUCAGGUAUGCACCAGGGACAGAAUAUUCUGUAUUUUAGAAAUUGAGAAUGAAACUAUUUAUUCUCUGACGUUUCCUGCUCCAACCUUUCAUUCCCAAAAGACAAUCCCUACUCUCUUUCAGAUUGUAAGCAGGAAUUUGACUACUGCAAUUUUAGCAAUUAAGUUGUGAACAAAGCUUUCCCACCCGGUGUUCUACUAUGGUUUGUUCUGAGUAAAUUAAGUAUUGCUGGGAAAAUGUCUGAGAUACUGCUUCAUGAUUUGAAAUAUGUAUACUUUUUUUGUACUGUACACUGUGUGAAAUCUUUAUUUUUCCUUUUUCUAUGGAACAAAACAACCUAAGAAAAUGUCACUUCAGACCAGUAUUACUUCAGACCAAUAUUACUAGGAAAAAGUGAUGUGUGUGCACCAAGAAAUAAAAAGGCAAGAAAGCACAAGUGCAUUUCAGCCCCAAAUCACCAGCUGUUAAACAGUUUCUCCCUAAGUAUUACCUGGUGCUUUCAUUUCACCUUGUAAUGGGAAGAACACAAUAUUGAAAGUGACUUUGUAAAUUACAGAUAUAUUGGAUGGUUUACUCAGUCAUUGUUCCAUCCCAUGCAUUAGAUUCAUGUAGUUUCAUCCUUUGUUCAGUGAGAAUUAAAAGCUGUACUUUAAAUAAAUACUCCGACCUCUACAACAAGCUUGAGGUGACAUACAGAAGAUCUUUUCGUAGCUCUUCUUUCCCUACAGUGUCAAAAAGUGAUAUCAGAAUCAAAUAAUAUUUUUGUGAUUAUUUGAUUAUGAAUGAAUUAAAAUGAAAAUUGAAACUAAUUGUUAAAUUUUGGCUUCAUUCUACAUUGCAUACAUAGAACGCAAUCACCACUUUCCGUUCAGAUACGAUGGUUCUUCUUCUAAGGAAUAAAUCCCUAUAAAUGGCAGAGGAAUAUGCUCAAAUGCAAACACCAACUUAAACCAUAUUUUUAAGCACAGAUUUGCAAAAUAAAUUCAUUACAUAAGUAUUGCUUCACUGAAAGUGAUUUCCCUGUCCUUAUCUGAACCCAUGAGCUUUUCCAUUAUAUUUUCUCCUUCCGUCCUGUCAAGGAGGUGAAGUGAGAGAGUGGUUUGAUGGACACCUGAUGAUCAGCUGAGGCUAACCCACUUCUUAUCCCCACACAUCAUGUGCCGCAAAAUAGGUACUAACAUAAAAAGCUGAUCAGAGAAUCAGAGGUUUGCUGGUUUAGGUAGGUAAUAGAGCACAGAGUCUCUUUCUAAAGACAUCAGAAGAGUAGGCUAUUACAUCAGAAGAGAGAAAGAAAAAGAUGACACUGCCAAAAAAAGUAAGUGAGUCAUAAACAGGCCAUGAGUCAUUUUGGGCCAUAUCUGCAACAUAAGACCUAUCUAAUUUAGUUGAUACGUAAUUUAAAGUGACUACUUAGUGGGUACAUCUUCUGCAGUCAUGUAUUGAGAAAUGCCUUAGUUAACCAGAAGGAGAGGAGUAGGUGUAACAUACAGAGUGUGAGAGAAUCCUCCUUUUAGUUAUAGAGGAAAUAUAGAAUAUGAACCCACCAAAGGGGUUUAUUUCUAGAAUGAGAUUGCUAGUGCUGACAUUAUAAAGCAAGAAGUAUAAAGCAAGAAGCAGUGUAUGAUGAUGAAGCAGGUUCUUUUUUUUUUUGGUAUUAGAAGAUACAGUAUAGGCAAUUAAAAUAUUUUUUUCUUAUCCAUAUUAAUAUGCUAUUUCUUAGUGAUCUCUGCACUUUUGUUAGCAGGAAUUGUCAUCACUUCAUCGCCAGUGUGUGAACUGAAGUCUUCAUCAAUGCUUUGCAAUAAAAUUAGGUUGGGCUGUGCAGAAUUUCAAUAUCACAUUUUCUGAUUAACUUCAAUUAACUACAAUAAUUUUGCAUCACCAACAGAAGGUGUGUACUGUUUGAUAGGUCUUCUUUCUUUUCAAUGGUAAUUGUACCACAAAACAUUUAAAGGACUUACACGGUCACGGACUAAUUGUUUUGCUUCCUCUGAUCUCAGAAAAUCCUGUCCAAAACUAGCAAUUAUGCAUACAACUGACACUUUUCCCCCUUCUCACCUAUAGCAUUAAUUCAAUACCAUUACAGAAAAUUUGUGCUUUUGAAACUCAUAUCUUCAACGUGUAGAGUGAUUAGAAAACUUGUAUAUUCCAGACGUUGAGUACCUUCGGUAAGCCCCAAAGUAAGCUCGCUGGGGUACUUUUUAACACAUGCUGGUAGCUAGAAUAUGAACACGAGUAGUUUUGACUGGUUAGCACUUUGGUUUCUGAAUUUCUCCACUUUGUCCCUGUUGAUAUACUUCAGUGCGGCAUUUCAGCAGAAUUUAUUGACUGCAGUAUGAACAUUCAAACAUAUGGACUUCUGCAGUGAAGACUUCCUUGUCCCUCUAGCUGAUCUUAAUAUGCCUGCUAUCUAUAUUUUCCAGGGCAGAGUUAUAACUUCUUAAUUCAUAAUAGCUGAAUGGGAAAUUUCUUCACUGAAGCAGUGGUCUGAAGAGCUUACAGUCAGCAAGUUGAGCUCAGAAUCACAUAUUCAUGUGCCUGCUGGUGGAAUCAUGAAUAUGUAGUUUAUAUUCAAAAUGUUACAAGUACUAAGGCUUCUUUCCCUGAUUUACAUUCUUAUUAUUUGACUGAGAUCAGCAGCACCAUGUAGAAGGCAUUGAAGUUGCCAUUCCUCCUGGAAACUUUCUCCCAAGUAGCCCAAGAACAUGUCUGUAAGACUUCUCCAGUUCACAGUUAAAAAAAAAAAGCAAACCAAGAUUAUUAUUUCCACUAGAUAGCUGUUUGCAGAAUCUUAGUUAGUUAGAAACCCUGAACUUUCAGUCUGUAUCCACAUGAUUUUGGAACUAUUGUUACGUUUUCCAUUGUCCCUAAUUGGUAUUUAUACCCUUGACUGACUGCAUGGCAUGAAGUCUAGGGGCAGAGUUAGAGGAGAUGAAAUGUGAGUUUCUCUUCCAGCAGCAAACCUAUUGUUGCAAAGGGCUCUUCCCCAUGUGUCUGUGACAUGAAUGUGAUUGACUCAAGGCAUGCUGAGUUUUAAGAAAGGAGAACACACUCAAGGGCAUUUUGCUUUGCUAAUUUGCUUGUGUAUUUGGAGACUAGGUUUCUGUGGCUCUUAUGCACUAGGAGAAGGGAGGUUUUUCAGGAGCCAUUGCCAGUGGUUUGGGGAGUUUGUCAAAGGAUGUACAGGAAAGUUUCUAGGAUUGUGAUGUGACUGAUCCCAAAAUCCCAAUCUUGUCUGUCUGCUGAUUACUAUUUUUUUUUAAUCUGUUCAGUAAUACUUACCAUUCCUUUUGAGGUCUGCAUGAAAGUGGUAGGCCCUGGCUCGAGCUUAAGGUAACUGAAUACAAUUAACUGUUGAAUGUGGCAUGAGGAAUUACUGGAUGUAACAAAAGUCAGAGAGAGAAGCUGAUGGAAGUUACAGACAGAACCGUGAGAAGGGGCUGGGUUUCAAAAGACAGGCGAUGGGGGCUUAAGUUAAAGGUUUAGGGAAUGUUGGGGCUGCCUGUGUGCGUGAUCCUUUAGGCAGGGAAUCACCUCACUGUUUACUGGGACUGGAGGAGUGCCCAGGGUCUCUCAUUUGACAAGCAAGGAGGAAGGAUUAUUCCAAGUUACUGUGUCCAAAAUAUUUUCCCUUUACAGGGAAAGUGCGUCUGAUCACAACUCUCUGAGACAUGCCAUUCGGCCAGUUCUUAAUCCACCUCACCAUCUCCUCCUCCAGUCCACACUUCCUAAGUUUGCCUGUGAGGUUAUAAUGGGAGACAGUGUAAAAAGCCCUUCUGAAGUCUAGAUGGGCAAUCCAAUGCUUCUCCAGACUUUCUCUGGCCUCUUGGGUGAGGGAUUCCUGAGGGCUGGCCUUGGCAAUGAAAACUAAAGCAAGAAAGCAGAUAUUUAUGACUGCGGCAUGCAGGCUCUUGUUUAUUGCUGGUAAAAAUGCAUAGCUAGUGGUGGUGGCUUUGCUGAAAAAUAGUGUUUAGUAGCUGAGAAUUUGCUCUAUCAAGUGAUGCUAUUCUGCUCUUUGUAUCUGUUGUAGCUUCCAUUGAAAUAAGCAGGAGGCAUUACUUUUGGAGCAACCUAUCUAUAUUGACUCCUAAGCAUUAUCUUUCACCUCUGAAUUUUGUCUGCUUCAUCCUGUGUAAGUAUUAGGUAGUAGUCACAUUUAUUUUUGUUUCCUCAGUUCGAGUGUCUUGUGGCUACAUUCUGUCCUCCUUGGAAUACUAGGAUGUAGAAAGAUGCAACCCAUAUGCUGUAACCAUGCUGACACCCUCCUGCUGUCAGAGUGAAGGUCUCCUUCUAUAUUCUGUGCUGUGCUGUAGCCUUGGUGCCUCAUUCCUCUGGAGACUAAGUCUUUGAAUUAAAUUUUUUUUAACUCUCAGUCAGGUAAUUCAACAUUAAUAUUUAUUUUUAAGACCUUUGAUGAAGUUUUGUUACUUCAGCAUCAUACAGCCAUCCAGAACUCUAAUAAGUCUGUUCUUUUAUUUUCUACCUGAGUGAAUGAAGGAGGCCAGAAUAACUUUCUAGGGUAGGUUAUGUACAACUUGGUUAAGUCUGAUUAUUCACAGUCUGUGUACAUGUUCUUCAAAGCCUCAUGUGCAUGAGGGUAGAACAGGGAUGGAGUGAGCACAAAGCCUCAGGCAGGUUUUUAUGGAGGACAAAUCUGGAGAAGAAAUGUGCUGUACCACCUCCUCUUCUUUCUCAGGAGCCAUUGUAAACCAUGACUCAUCUCUCCAGUCCAGACCAGUAUGGUUUAACCUCCACUUAUUAUAAAGUACAUUAUUUUCAUCUUUCUGUCUUUUGGCCUUGCAAGACUUUAAAGCAGCACUGAAUCACAUUUUGCUAUUGACUUUUUGCAUAGAUUUUUAAUGAUUUCUCUUUCUCACCUUUUUUUUUUUUUUUUUUUUGUCACAGUGAUGAACUGUUUCAUAUUGGAAACUUGAAUCUAUUUCACUCUUCUGUUAGCACUUUACUGUCCAACUAACAGGAGAUAGAAAAUGUUUUGUCUUUUAAAAAGAGAUUUGUUCUACUUUGAGCCCUGCAUUUAUGUGUUUCCACUGUAAAGAUAUCAUUCAUUUUAAUGCUUUUCAGUUUCUGAUACGUGCAACCUGCAAUUGGGGUAGCAUUUAAACAAUUGUUACACUGUUAAGGCUUUACUCAGUUCUUUAGUUUCCAGAUCCUGAAAUAUAAGUGAUUUCUGUAGUUCCUUCUGAGACUUUUUUUUUUUUGCUUGUUAUUUCCGUUUGUAGUAGCCUAACAUACAAUGGAACAAGGAAGGUUUAUUUACAUUUUUGUGUCUUAAAUCCAGCUACCACUAAGUUAACAACACGUGCUUCUUUAAAGAUGUGUGUACUACCUUUGUUCCAAUACUGGUUGGUAGUAGAUACAAGAAUUAAGAUGAGACCUGGAAGGGAAAAGAUUGACACAACAAACCCUUGUUCUUCCUAGUUUCUCCACAUGAGCAACCUGUUGGGAAGUCUGGGACUGAAUAGUAAUGAAAAGAAGAGAUGAGAAAUGCAGGGUGAAUUGUUGAAUUCAGAAAUGAGACAACAGAUUAAAAGAAGAUGAUGGAUGGGAAUAAAAUACAGAUGUCAAAACUUACAUUAUUGAUUGGAUAUUAAGAUUAUUUUCCCUACUUCUGUGUUUCUCUUGAGGACAUGAGGAAGAGAUUUGAGCUCUUCAUCUGAAAAACUUACACCACAGCACAAAGAGGUAAAUAUUUUAUUAUAAUAGCUUCAGUAAAUUCAGCAUUCAUAACAGAGGAAAUGCUAUGACUUAAAUGUCUUCCCAAGAUCAGGCAUAAAUGAUGUUUUUGAACAAGUCCUUAAAUCGUAUCAAUAAAUACCAUGUAAAUGUCCAUGUAAAAAUUUAAUAGCUGAAUAGGAAAAAAAGGCUUUCCUUUGCAUUGUCCAAUGUAAAGAUUUUAAGUUAUAAAGUAAUUGUGGAUUCAGCAUCCUACAAUCAAUCUCAGUCAGCAAGGACUUAAUGCUUAUAUGCAGCUGUGAUUCAUCAGAUUACACAGCAUCACAGCAGCUGUGUUCUCCAAAGCCUGGCUGUAGGUAUUGUCCAAAGUCCAUCAUUACUAAUCAAAUGAUGAGCAAUUAGCCCAAUGUUCUACUAAUGCCUACAGCAACGCCUCUAAUCAAACUAGUGGUUUUGUUAUCUUUCAGUGGUCUGUUUGUUUAUUUGUUUAUUUUUGAGCUUCUUCAUGAAAUAUAAAUUAAGAUAUAGCAGAAUCAUUUUGGUGCAGUGUUGACAUGUCAAAGCUGGGAGACAGCUUUAUGAUCUCAUUCCCAUAAAGUGUGGAAACUUUAAUUCAUGGCUAAGCUGCACUCAAUUUACACUGGAGCAAUCAUUCCAUUUGUUUUUGGUUUUUUUUACUUGUUUGCUUAUUUUAUGCACUAAACACUUUCUCUUCUCUCUACAUGGCCCUUUUUACCAUUCCUACUUUCUGCAUGAGAAGUGCCAAACAGUAAACCAUAGUACUUCUCCUGUUGCUAUGUACUUUUUCCUACUGAGCAUGCAUAACUUUUGCACCAGAUGAUUUCCAUGGGGAAAUCUUCAUAAGGCUGUGAGGUAUAAGACACUAACAACAGACCUCAGAGAUGUAAAGAAAAGAGCUCUGGGACUAGAGGGUUGAAAAUAGUUGAGAUAACAAGGACUCUCAUGGUUAUGUGAACCAUCAGAUUUUAUUAUAAAUCGGUAGUAUUGGUUUGCAUGUGUAACUUGUUAGAGUCCAUUUCUGAUCUAACAAAUUAUUGCAGAGUAAAAGGCUUAUUUAAGUAAAUAUCAAGAAGCAGAGUUAACAUGUUUUGGCUCUGUCUAGAUUACAGAAUAGCACAGAUCUGUAGAGUGAAACACCUACUUCUAAGAAGCCAAUGUGAAGACUAGAUACGUUUCAGGGAGCUUUAUUUUGGUUGAACUUUGUUCUGAUCUGAUGGACUGAAUGGUCAUGGGCAGCUGGAAUACUUUAGGUGUGCUGCUGAAACAAGUUGUUAGUUUAGCUUCAUCCUGAAAGAACCUGGUCCUUUUCUGUGACACCGCUCCACAGUGUGUGGGAAAUGGGGAUGAUCAGAACACUUGUUUGGCAAACCUUCUCUUGGCCUGAACGAAAAUGCUCUACAACAUGACUAUUAUUGCUAAUAUGAAAGCAGUAUUCUGCCUUAUUCAUCUUGACUUACCCUAGUGGAAACAGAAGAUUUUGUUGUUGGUCACAUUAUAUUUGAAAAAGAUUCAAAUAGAUGCACUCUCAGUUCUCCUUGAGCCCUUAGUUAAGAAACUGAGUGAAAUUAGUUAACAACAUCAUUUUCAUUAAGCCCGUAUUAGCACUUAUUACUUUAUUACCAUGUUUACAUUAAUAUUUUAACUUAGCCAGCACAGCAUGUCCAGCAGAAAAAGAACAACUCCUACACAUUCAACUCUAACAAAAAUGUAAAUAUCUUAUUUUCCUUUAAUAUGCAAGGUUAUUGUGAUCCUUGCAAGUAAGAGAACAGAGUAGUUAUCCUAAAUGUAAUGCUGCUCCCUUUGUCUGACAUUUUUAUUCUUCACUCACACUUUUGCAAGAUUGAAACAUGUCAGCUGGGAAAACAGUACCCAGAUGGGGUGGUGCACAUCUAGCAUGCCAGUGACUCUGGGCCCAGGAGCUUUCAUAUCUUGUUAUCUCCUACAGUGAAGGUGAAUCCCCUAUGAUGGGAGUUACACCUGAGUAACUGCUUACAGCAGAUGCUCAAGUUUUUCUCAUUGCUACCCUAUUUUCUAAUUACUUUUUAUUCUUGUAUUUUCAGUGCACUGAAAAGAACAAAUAUACUUGUUGUACCUCACAGGACACCUAAGAGUCAAAUUAGAAAGAAAGGAAAACUUCCCUGAGAUUAUGUUAGCACAGUUAUACAGACAAAAUUCUACUAACACGUUCUGUUUUUGAUGGAAACUAUCAAUUCUCAUAAAAAUCCUUUCUCAAUAAAAAAUUAUCUAUGUAAAUAUGAUGAAGUGGUAUGUUCCUUUGAAGAGUAGAGUAUACCAACAAAUUUGCAAUCUAGCUUAUUUUAUUAAUUUCCCUCUGAAAGUCUGUUUUAGAGUAUCUGAACAGCAUGUAAGUAAUGGCCAACAGCCUGAUAUGAGUGAUCACUUUCUUUCUACAGAUUAGGAAGAUGAGGAAUGAAGAAUAUUUGCACAGAAUCAAAAAAGGAAAAGAAUAUACCCAUAAGGUUUACCAUAAAAAAAUUAAAAAAACCAAAAACCUGCAGUGUUAAACAAAAGCAAAAAGAAUCACAAGGAAUCUGCUAAAGGUGCAAGGAUAUUCCUAAACCUCCUACUUGGGAACUUUCAUUUCUCCCUUUGUCUAUCAGGGCACAAAAUCCUUUAACCUUCUCAAUUCUAAGCAUGCAUGGACUCCUCAACCCUCAAGUCUUCUUAUCUGAAAUCGCCUCCAGGCCAUUAACUCCUACCAUGUAAUAAUAUCCUUUUCAUUCAAUCAAUCAUUACUGCCCACACUACUCCCAACCCUCUUCCUCUCCCUGCUCCCAUCUACCCUUCACAUACUCUUUCUGUUAAAUCCCUACACUCCUUUUGGAACUAAAGGUCACUUUUCCUGUCUGUCUCAACCUGUUAUUUCAGAGGCAUUUUAAAACUCUAGUCACAGACUGUAAAUAUUAAAAAUCCCUCAGAAUUCUCUGAAAGGUAAUUAAAAAAAGGUCAUGUCUCAGGCCUAGAUAACACGUUGGGCCUUAUUUGAGUGAGGUAUUGAACUAAACCACUUCUGCAUGUCCCUUGAAGUCCAACCAUAUUAUGAGUCUCUACUAGGAAAAAAGAAAAGAAUCUGUACAGUUGUCCUACAAACCCUACUGAAUUUUCGUAGCAGUGUUUUUUUAAAGAGUGUUUUGUAGAAUCUUGUACCCUCAUGUUCACCUGAAAGACAAACCAAAUCCAAAGUCAUCAGUAUGACAAUACAAUCGAUUUCAAACUUUCCAAAGAGUGGCUGUAAUACCAAGGAGUAAGUGAUUUUUCAGGCAUGCACAUUCUGUGCCAAAAAGUGACCUUUGCAGUAGCAUGAUGGAGUAGAAAAUUUUGAGAUUUGGGAUUCUGUAGAAAAUUCAUGUGUCUUUAUUCAUUAAAUAAAAUCCUACAUUAAAGGUACCGAUAAUCUGACAUCUUUCAUAGUUCAUUGAACAACCCUUUUGGCUGCUUUUGAUAGCUGGUAGAAAGGUUACAUACAACGUGGAUCAAAACAAAAUUAAAUGGAAGAGGUGAGUCAAAUUUUUCGUGGAAAGCUCUUCACACAAAUAAGUUUUUAUGAACUCUGAGACAUCACGGUCAUUCUUCAUGUUUCACCACUUUCACCAUGAACAAAGGGCUUUUAGGAACCGAGAAACCAAAUACUUCUUCCCUUGAAAAGGUGGAUAAAUACAGACACAAGAAAGAACGGAAAAUAGUAAAGAAAAUUCAGGAUCAGUGGGUUGUGACAAAAUUGUAAAACAGAUUGCCAAGCUGCUAACUGCAGUGUGCAAUCUAUUGCUUAAAUCUGUGUUGCUGCCAGACAAAUAGAAAGGGGUAAAUGUCAUGCUGAAUUUUGAAAAGUGCUCCUGGGUGUUGCAAGCCAAAAAGUCUGGUUUUCAAGCAAAUAAAAUUGGAUGAGAAUAUAAUGAAAGAAAAAAUGAACAGAUCCAUGAUUAAAGAUGAUUAAACAAGCAAAAGUCAACACAGUUUUUGUAGAGAGUAGUUCCGCACAUACCGAAGAGCUUUCUCUGGGGCAAUCAACAAGUAGAUGAGCAGACUUUUUUCUUUAGAAAGUCUCCAGACAAGGUGUCUCAUCAAAAGUGCUCUCAUUUAAAAAUAAAUAAAAAUAAAAAUUGCUCAUUAAGAGAAAAGAUGGGACUAAGUGGUUAGUGCUCAGAAAAGAAGAUCAUCUGUACAACACAGGAACGUACCAUGGGAUGCGUGCUCUUCAAUAUAUUCAUAAAUGAUCUAGAAAAGUUGCUGAAUAAGAAGCCAAAAUCAUUCACAAUAGUCAAAACUAAAGCUGAUGACAAGAAAAAUGAAAAAAAAAAAAAAAAUCUUAGUAUGCAAAAUGACUGUAUUACAAAAUGGCAGAGAAAUUUCAGUGUUAUUAACCACAAAACUGCAGAAAAGGGAGCAGGAAACUAACCUGAUUGCUUAUAUACAACAGCUGCUCCAAAAGUAAUGCCUCCUAUUUUAUGAUGUUGGCCGACAGUGUCAGAAGUGAAUGUUGGUGGCAUGGCAGUUGAGGUUGAACCUUCCCACCAAUACUUCAUUACACUUUGUUGCUGUGUGACGGAUGGCAGCAGAGGGACAGUCUGACAAAAUGGCUCCUGACAAAGAAGUGUGGAUGAAGCAAAAGUGUGAAACUGAAUUCUUCCAUGUGGAAAUAAAAUGGCACCUGCUGACAUUCAUCAAUGUUUGCUGAAUGUUUAUGUAGACCAAACAGUGGAUGUGAGCACAGUGAGGUGAUGGGUGGUGCAUUUCGGCAGUGGUGACAGUGAUCUAACAGACAAGCCAUGUUCCGGAUGGUCAUGCAGAUUUUUAUGAGCAGAGCAUGCUGACUCUUGUUCAUCGCUGCUGAAAAUGAAUAGCUAAUGGUGGUGAUUCUGUUGAAAAAAAGUGUUUUGUAGCUGAGAAUUUACUCUGUCAAACAGCAUUAUUGUGUGCUUUGUGGUUUCCAUGGAAAUAAAUAGGAGGCAUUACUUUUAGAGCAAACUACAUAUAACAAUAAGCUAUCAAUGCCCCUGAAAGUAAUCAUGUAACUAUUGACAGUUGUUCUUGGUGAAAACUAAUGCUCAAAGGAAGGCCAAAAAGAAUUAAAUUAGGAAAUUGUGAACAAAACCAAUUACAUUAUUCUACUGAAUAAAUCCACAUUCCACCCCAGACUUCUUGUGAUACCCAGCCACCAUCAUUGGGCUUGCUCUGCUUGCACCGUCUGGGAAUUGGGAGCUGGUCUCUUGCUGGUGAGACCCUUACCUUCUUGGCAGUACUACUGCUCUUGACUCCAGGAUCUCUGUACUUCAGGGAGCAGCCAGCCCUCACUCUUCUCUGACAUGCUGUUAUCUGCCUCCUUUCUACAAAACAAACUUAUGUUAAUCAUCUUGAAGAUUCUAUCUCUGAGGGAAGCUCUGAAAGUAACGCUUCCUAUUUUAUGAUGUUGGCCCAUGAUGUCAGAGGCUAAUAUGGGUGGUAUGGCAGUAGAGGUUGAGCCUUCCCGCCAGUAUUCUGUUACAUGUGGUUGCUGUGUGACAGAUGGCAGCAGCGGGGCAGUCUGAUGCAGUGGUGUCUGAUUUGGGAGUGUGGAUGAAGCAAUAGCGUGUCAGUGAAUUUCUCCAUGAGGAAAAAAUUGCACUCACUGACAUUCAUCAAUACUUGCUGAACAGGGAGGCUGCGGGUAGUGCAUUUCAGCAGUGACUACAGUGACGUAAAAGACAAGCCACGUUCUGGAUCACCAUGCACAGCUGUCACACCAAAAAAAGAGCAAAUCAGUGUGUCCUAAAAGUCCUGGCAUCUGGAGACUGAAAAAGAAAGAAAACAUAAUUAUUACAGUAAUUUCAAAGCACAUCAGGCCUUUCCUUCUAUUCUGGCCAUUUGUAUCAGCUCUUAAUUCCCUAGUCUGUAUCCACCUGUUUAAAUUUAGUACCCA